rnacentral:lncRNA from 1 species
CAGCAAUGCAAGUGUCCCUCGCAGGUCAUGUUUAACACUGAAGCAAAACAAAUUUGCAUUGGUGUAAAACUACAACUAUUAGCUCUUUCACCUUGUCAGACAGUCCCUUCAAUCCAAGAAUAUACAACAUCUAGAAGAAAUAAAACCAAUGACAUAAUUAGUAAACAAUUUCAGCGACAAAAGGAUAAACAAAUUGGAUUUUUAAAACAAAACCUGCACAUGCACAAGUAUAUGUUAUAUUAACAAAAGUGCAGAUCCCGUCCCACUCUUCACUUUUUGACAAAAAACUUCCGAAUAGCAAUCUUGGUGAGUGAUCUCGACCGGGUUCGAUCGGCAUGGCAUGUCGUUCCUCCAGGAGUGGGUGCUGAGAGGAAGGAUGGCAAACCUCCAUUGUCAAUCGGCCGGAGCUGCAUCGUCAUUUGGAUCAGAGCAUGGACGAAAUCGAGAUGGUAGAGGUUGAGGAAUUUGUAGGACGUGAGGUUUAGGGUGGGCAUCACGAGAACUCACCCAUAUCUUGGGAGACGGCAGACCCGAGGUGCAGUCGUGUUUGUGCUUCAGGGGCUGCCA